rnacentral:tRNA from 1 species
AUAUUUAUAUAUUAUAUAAUAAAUAAAAAUAUUAUAUAUAUAUUAUAUAUAAUAUUAAUAAUAAUAAUAAUAAUAUAUCUAUUUAUAUAUAUAUAUAUAUUAUAUAAGUUAGAAUAGAUACAUUUAGGAAAUAUAGGAUUUGAACCUAUAACCUUUCGUGUGUAAAACGAACGCUCUACCAAUUGAGCUAAUAUCCUUAUUAAUAUCAUACUACUUAUAUAUAUAUAUAUAUAUAAUAUAUAAACUAUUAUAAGUAAUAAUAUUAAUAUAGCUAUUUUGGUGGAAUUGGUAGACACGAUACUCUUAAGUUGUAUUACCUUACGGUAUAAAGGUUCAAGUCCUUUAAGUAGCA